AAAUUUGAAAUCUGGCGCAAGCCCGAGUUGUAAUUUGUAGAGGAUGCUUCUGGGCAGCGGCCGGUCUAAGUUCCUUGGAACAGGACGUCAUAGAGGGUGAGAAUCCCGUAUGCGACCGGUUGGCACCCGUCACGUAGCUCCUUCGACGAGUCGAGUUGUUUGGGAAUGCAGCUCUAAAUGGGAGGUAAAUGUCUUCUAAAGCUAAAUAUUGGCCAGAGACCGAUAGCGCACAAGUAGAGUGAUCGAAAGAUGAAAAGCACUUUGGAAAGAGAGUUAAAAAGCACGUGAAAUUGUUGAAAGGGAAGCGCAUGCUACCAGACUUGUCGGCGGUGUUCCGCCGGGCUUCUGCCCGGUUCAUUCGCCGCCGGCAGGCCAGCAUCACUUGGAUGUGCCGGAUAAAGACGUCAGGAAUGUGGCCCUCUCGGGGGUGUUAUAGCCUGGCGUGUAAUACGGUGCCGUCCGAGUGAGGUCCGCGCUUCGGCUAGGAUGCUGGCGUAAUGGUCGUAUGCGGCCCGUCUUGAAACACGGACCAAGGAGUCUAACAUCUAUGCGAGUGUUCGGGUGUCAAACCCCUACGCGUAAUGAAAGUGAACGGAGGUGGGAACUUAGGUGCACCAUCGACCGAUCCUGAUGUCUUCGGAUGGAUUUGAGUAAGAGCAUAGCUGUUGGGACCCGAAAGAUGGUGAACUAUGCCUGAAUAGGGUGAAGCCAGAGGAAACUCUGGUGGAGGCUCGCAGCGGUUCUGACGUGCAAAUCGAUCGUCAAAUUUGGGUAUAGGGGCGAAAGACUAA
rnacentral:rRNA from 1 species